CGAAUGACUCCUGGCAAUGGAUAUCUUGGCUCUCGUGUCGAUGAAGAACGUAGCGAAAUGCGACACUUGGUGUGAAUUGCAGAAUCCCGUGAACCAUCGAGUUUUUGAAUGCAAGUUGCGCACGAGGCCAUUAGGUCGAGUGCACGUCUGUUUGGGCGUCAUAU
rnacentral:rRNA from 1 species